AGAUUAAGUUAUUAAGGGCGCACGGUGAAUGCCUUGGCACUAGAAGCCGAUGAAGGACGUUACUAACGACGAUAUGCUUUGGUGAGCUGUAAGUAAGCUGUGAUCCAGAGAUUUCCGAAUGGGGGAACCCAGCACGAGUUAUGUCGUGUUAUCCAUGCGUGA
rnacentral:rRNA from 1 species